rnacentral:rRNA from 1 species
AUUAUAAAAGGUGGCUUUUAGCUACCACUUACAGAUGGACCCGCGGCGCAUUAGCUAGUUGGUGAGGUAACGGCUCACCAAGGCAACGAUGCGUAGCCGACCUGAGAGGGUGAUCGGCCACACUGGGACUGAGACACGGCCCAGACUCCUACGGGAGGCAGCAGUAGGGAAUCUUCCGCAAUGGACGAAAGUCUGACGGAGCAACGCCGCGUGAGUGAUGAAGGUUUUCGGAUCGUAAAACUCUGUUGUUAGGGAAGAACAAGUACCGUUCGAAUAGGGCGGUACCUUGACGGUACCUAACCAGAAAGCCACGGCUAACUACGUGCCAGCAGCCGCGGUAAUACGUAGGUGGCAAGCGUUGUCCGGAAUUAUUGGGCGUAAAGCGCGCGCAGGCGGUUUCUUAAGUCUGAUGUGAAAGCCCCCGGCUCAACCGGGGAGGGUCAUUGGAAACUGGGGAACUUGAGUGCAGAAGAGGAGAGUGGAAUUCCACGUGUAGCGGUGAAAUGCGUAGAGAUGUGGAGGAACACCAGUGGCGAAGGCGACUCUCUGGUCUGUAACUGACGCUGAGGCGCGAAAG